UACGGGGGGAGCAAGCGUUAUCCGGAUUCACUGGGUUUAAAGGGUGCGUAGGUGGGCUAGUAAGUCCGUGGUGAAAUCUCCAAGCUUAACUUGGAAACUGCCGUGGAUACUAUUAGUCUUGAAUAUUGUGGAGGUAAGCGGAAUAUGUCAUGUAGCGGUGAAAUGCUUAGAUAUGACAUAGAACACCGAUAGCGAAGGCAGCUUGCUACACAAUCAUUGACACUGAGGCACGAAAGCGUGGGGAUCAAACAGG
rnacentral:rRNA from 1 species